rnacentral:rRNA from 1 species
ACGGAAGGCAGCAGUGGGGAAUAUUGCACAAUGGGCGAAAGCCUGAUGCAGCGACGCCGCGUGAGUGAAGAAGUAUUUCGGUAUGUAAAGCUCUAUCAGCAGGGAAGAAAAUGACGGUACCUGACUAAGAAGCCCCGGCUAACUACGUGCCAGCAGCCGCGGUAUUACGUAGGGGGCAAGCGUUAUCCGGAUUUACUGGGUGUAAAGGGAGCGUAGACGGCUUUGCAAGUCUGAAGUGAAAGCUCGGGGCUCAACUCCGGAACUGCUUUGGAAACUGUAGAGCUAGAGUGCAGGAGAGGUAAGUGGAAUUCCUAGUGUAGCGGUGAAAUGCGUAGAUAUUAGGAGGAACACCAGUGGCGAAGGCGGCUUACUGGACUGUAACUGACGUUGAGGCUCGAAAGCGUGGGGAGCAAACAGGAUUAGAUACCCUGGUA